rnacentral:lncRNA from 1 species
CAGAAAUACAAUUUAUUAUCACACUGAAUUAUUCUCUUCUACAUGGUUUGUCAUUAUACUGACCUAGACACAGUCGGGUCCUAACUAAUCAUGAAGUGUUGGUUGUCACAACCAAAAAUAUCAUUGCCAUUUACAGGUAGAGUUAUGAAAUGACUUUUGAUAUUAAAUAAUGUUCUAUAUUCACUAUUAUCCACUGAUUUUCAUUUAUUUUUUAUCAGGUGUGCUCCCCAGAAGAAAGAAAUCAGAUGAAAGAGGAAAAGAGAAUGGUGAGUGAUAUUUAUUUUUUUGUCUAAGAUAGUAUUUGA